UCUUCUGAAGGCACAUUUUUCUCAACAAACACAAACUCUUUCUUUAAGCCACAAGUACCAACUAAGUAUAUUCACAGCCAGCAAUGGCCACACAAAGCAGAAAAACAUAUGAACUUACAGUUCUAAGUUCACCACCAAGGCCAAUCUCUCCAAUAAAUGCAAUAUCAUUUGGGAUAGGAAAUUCCAAGAAACUGAAAACAAGGAGGAGUGGGGUUACUUCAAUAAACAUAUACCAUAAAAUAUAGACAGAA
rnacentral:lncRNA from 1 species